CGGGACGUGGCGCAGUCUGGAAGCGCACCUGAAUGGGGUUCAGGGGGUCGGAAGUUCAAAUCUUCUCGUCCCGACCA
rnacentral:tRNA from 1 species